AAAAUUGCAAUAAUAUAUCAUGCAUGCAAUAAUUUCUAAAUUUACAGUGAACUAAUAUCUUUAACAGAGAAAUUGUUAACAAUAAUAAUAAUUACAGCCGAUUCCAUCAAGUGUGUAGGCAAAGGUAAUAUCUUUGGUUAGCUUGCUUCCUAGCUGAACCGUGAAGUCAUUAUUAGAUAAGAUAUACUACCCUUUUUUUGAAGUAGCCUAGUCCUACAGACAUAGAUUGGUUAUCUUUCGGACUAGUCUACUCUUAAAGGAGGGUAGUUUACCUAACCUAAUAAUGACUUCACUGUUCAGCUAGCAAGCAAACUAACUAAAGAUAUUACUGUGAAAGUACUUUAAUUCGUUGGUAUCAAUUUUCGUUGUUUGGGCAAUAUUUUCAUGUUCAUGGGUUUUUAAAUUCGUG
rnacentral:lncRNA from 1 species